GGACCUUUAGCUCAGUUGGCUAGAGCAGACGGCUCAUAACCGUCGGGUCGUAGGUUCGAGUCCUACAAGGUCCA
rnacentral:tRNA from 1 species